rnacentral:misc_RNA from 1 species
GAUGAAGAACGCAUCAAAAUGCGAUAAGUAAUGUGAAUUGCAGAAUUCAGUGAAUCAUCGAAUCUUUGAACGCACAUUGCGCCCGCUGGUAUUCCGGCGGGCAUGCCUGUUCGAGCGUCAUUUCAACCCUCAAGCCCCCGGGUUUGGUGUUGGGGAUCGGCUCUGCCCUUCUGGGCGGUGCCGCCCCCGAAAUACAUUGGCGGUCUCGCUGCAGCCUCCAUUGCGUAGUAGCUAACACCUCGCAACUGGAACGCGGCGCGGCCAUGCCGUAAAACCCCAACUUCUGAAUGUUGACCUCGGAUCAGGUAGGAAUACCCGCUGAACUUAAGCAUAUCAAUAAGCGGAGGA